CAGCUAAAAAUACAGGAGAGGAGGAGGAGGCUCUUAAAGGACCAGCGGAGAGUGAAGUCAGUUCAUUCAAGAUCUGAUGACUCUCCUGCAGGGGCUGCUGGAUGUUCGUCUGUCCUCUGAUGCCACAGGACCUGAUUGACACCACAUUACCUGGAAGUGCUGCUGCUGCAUGAGCCAAUCAGAUUUAGAGUUUAUAAUCCUGCACCAUGAUGUCCUGCUCUGAUUGGCUGGCCGGUUCCGCCUAUCUUCAGUGGGUCCUUCUCUGUUACUGCCCCCAAACUUUGCAAUUCACUUCCCCUGGCUCUCAGAACGGUCACCUCUUUCAGUGAAUUCAAAUCAAAGCUUAAAACUUAUUUGUUUAAUCAACACUAUCACUAAUUUACAUUGUGUAUUUGUCUGUUUUGUUUUUCUAUUUCUGUCUUUUCUACACAAUCCGUGUUAUAUGCAACUGCAUUAUUUCUAACUGAAUUGUGCAAAUGUCCAAUGAAAUUGUUUCUUUGUAAUCAGUAUUUGCUGCUUUGGUGUACCUUGUAGAGCGUCCUUGAGCUUGGGGAAGGCGCUAUAUAAAGUAAACAUAUUAUAUGUAAAAUAGUUUCUGUGUUUUUUUAUGUUUAAUAUUCUGUGAGAUCAUAGACCGUCACUGAC